UACGGGGGGGGCAAGCGUUGUUCGGAAUUACUGGGCGUAAAGGGCUCGUAGGCGGCCAACUAAGUCAGACGUGAAAUCCCCAGGCUCAACCUGGGAACUGCGUCUGAUACUGGAUGGCUUGAAUUCGGGAGAGGGAUGCAGAAUUCCAGGUGUAGCGGUGAAAUGCGUAGAUAUCUGGAGGAACACCGGUGGCGAAGGCGGCAUCCUGGACCGGUAUUGACGCUGAGGCGCGAAAGCUAGGGGAGCAAACGGG
rnacentral:rRNA from 1 species